UGUGAUUUAUGGUUGAAAAGCAAACGUUGACUCAACAUUUUAUCAACCUUGCGCUUUCUGUAUAAUUUCGACGUUAGGUCUCAACAUAGAUUCAACAUUGAUUCACCCAUAGUUUGCUAUCUGGGGCGCUUCAUUCUCAGAUCAGAGUUUUUCUCCCCACACAGCCGUGUGCAGCCUCAGGUGAAAAUAAACCACUUUAUUCUGCAAGUCUUCAAAUGUGAGGAUGUGAAAUAAAGUCAGCAGCUUUCCCUUCAAGGAUCACCAGAUCUGAGCGUUCAGUCUCAGAACGUUUGAAGCUAUAGACACUAAAAACCUGAGCUGCUCCUCUCUCUGUCUGUCAGGCCCUACAGCGCCCCCCUCAGGACGGACUAAACCAGCAAGCUGGACACUGUCCUUGGUUUCCAGGGCAACAGCAGACUCGGAGACAGGAAGUUGAAGUGUUGAAAACAUUUGGUUUGAAUGUCAGGACAGAAGAGCUGCUGCAGUGUGAAAUAUCUCACUUCCUCUUCUUCUAUGUGAAACUGCAGAGUUUAGACCAAAGCUGAGCUCUGUGUCCCUUUAACCGACAAAAACAAGAACCAGACACACCGACAAUAAACUACAGAGUUCAACCCUCCUGUUGUCUUCAUUUAUGAAAAAACAGAAGAAAAAAAGAAAAUUUCAAUAAUUCCUUAAAAGUGUCCCAGAAAAGUUUAAUUUAAAAAAAAUCCCCCAAAUUUGGCAAGAAAAUUCUUGUAAAUAUUUUCAAAAAAUGAGCAAAAACCUUCCAAAAAAUUCUAAAAAUGUCUAAAGUGAUUACAUUUAUCUCAGUAAAACUUCUAAUAUAUACAGCAAAAUUCGCUGUAUAUGGUUGAUUUUUAUGUGAAUGUUCUUUAGAAACAUUUUUUUAACGUUUCUUUUUUCACCAAAAAUUCUCAAAAAUUUGUCUCUUUUUUGUUUUGUUUCGAGUCAUUUGUCUGAUUUUUUUGUCAUUUUGCCUCUCACUUUUGUUGUUUUUUUGUCUGAUUUUUUGUCAUUUCUAUCAUGUUUUUGUUAUUUUGUGUUUUCUCUUAGUCUUGCUUGUUUUAUUUAUUUUUGUGUUUUUUUGUCAUUUUUUUGUCUCGUUUUUGUCAUUUUGUCUCAUUUUUGUCUUGUUUUUUUUGUCUUAUUUGUCAUUUGUCUCAUGUUUUUGUUGUUGAAAAUGUGGACAUCCGUUUGACCCGCAGGACGACACAAGGGUUAAACCAAAGCUCAGCUCUGUGUCCCUUUAGCCAACAAAAAGAAGAACCAGACACAUCUACAAUGAACUGCCGCCUCCAGAUCCUCUAACCUUCACCUGGAAGUCCUGAACCUUGUCUGUUCCAUCCUCUGUAGAAUCGUUGCUGUUUUUAUGUUUAGCAUUUAAAAAGCUGAUGUUCACUAAUAUUUGUUCAUUUUCUUAGAGUUGUGUUUUUUUUCAAACAGACCAGGUAAGAACUAUCUAGGAUCCAAUUCAAUUCUGUUUGAAAUUCUCACAUUUAGUUCUGACCUCCUCCAAAAGUCCAAAAUAUUUCUGCUCUGCUAGACCCAGAGAGUUCCUCUAACCUCAGUGUAUUUAGUCCGUAUAGCUGGUGUGUUCUUAUUGAACUGGAUUAGCUUAGCAGGAGCUACACAUGUUAGCUUUAGCCAGCUAGCAUUAUCAGUCUGAGCCGUGGGUUGAAUGACUGAGUUGUUAGCUUUAGCCAGCUAGCAUGAGUGAGUCUGAGCUGUGGGUUUAAUGUCUGAGUUGUUAGCUUUAGCCAGCUAGCAUGAGUGAGUCUGAGCUGUGGGUUUAAUGUCUGAGUUGUUAGCUUUAGCCAGCUAGCAUGAGUGAGUCUGAGCUGUGGGUUUAAUGUCUGAGUUGAUAGCUUUAGCCAGCUAGCAUUAUCAGUCUGAGCCGUGGGUUGAAUGACUGAGUUGUUAGCUUUAGCCAGCUAGCAUGAGUGAGUCUGAGCUGUGGGUUUAAUGUCUGAGUUGUUAGCUUUAGCCAGCUAGCAUGAGUGAGUCUGAGCUGUGGGUUUAAUGUCUGAGUUGUUAGCUUUAGCCAGCUAGCAUGAGUCAGUCUGAGCCGUGGGUUUAAUGUCUGAGUUGUUAUCUUUAGCCAGCUAGCAUGAGUGAGUCUGAACUGUGGGUUUAAUAUCUGAGUUGUUAACUUUAGCCAGCUAGCGUGAGUUAGUCUGAGCUGUGGGUUGUUAGCUUUAGCCAGCUAGCGUGAGUUAAUCUGAGCUGUGGGUUUAAUGUCUGAGUUGUUAGCUUUAGCUAGCUAGCAUUAUCAGUCUGAGCCGUGGGUUUAAUGUCUGAGUUGUUAGCUUUAGCCAGCUAGCAUUAAUCAGUCUGAGCCAUGGUUUUAAUGACUGAGUUGUUAGCUUUAGCCAGCUAGCAUUAAUCAGUCUGAGCCAUGGGUUUAAUGUCUGAUCAGGUGGAUAUCCAUUCCUCAACUGAAACUUCAGUCUCCAGAUCCUCCUAAUUCUAAUACUGUGAGCUCUCAGAUGAACCAGAUGUGAACAUGUUCUAGAGCAGGUGUCGGCAACCCGCGGCUCCGGAGCCGCAUGCGGCUCUUUCAGCCCUCUGUUGUGGCUCCCUGUAACUUUGGUAAAUAAAUUGUUCUGCCUUUCAGGCGCGUUUCACUGCAUUUUAAUAUAGAGUUUUAUUGUGAAAUUACCGCUCUUAUUUUGACGCGUCACUCCACCGGAUGUGCUGCUGGGGUUUUCCUCUGGCUGGGACAUGAGAGCACAAGGUUGAUGCAGAGGAGAUGGAGAAGCAACGCCUGUAGUUUCACAUCGUUUUGUACUCAAGAAUGGCAAACCUGUAUAUUAAAGCUCCACUCCAAGAAAGACACGUCUGAGUCAAAAGUACUCGUGAUAGGGUAAUACACGUUACUGCAAGAACACGGUCGAUGUCCAGGCAGCAGGUCAGAGAGUCAGAGGAGUGUCGUCUUGGAAAAUAGGGCAGCGACUUGCCGGAGAAAAGUUAUAAGCUUAAGAUAAAUAGAUUUUACAAGUUAAAUAGACAUUCGCAAAAUAUUGAUUUCCAGCUAACAUUACGUAACAUAUGAGGUCCAGGAGCAAAAAUGACAUUAACCAAGUAAGAUAAAUAUUAGUGGAAGGACACAAUUUAAAAAAUGAAUAAUUAGAGGCUUUGUAAUUAAUUAAUCACGACUGAUUAACAAGGGCAUAGAGGUAAAAAAAAAAAAAAAGAAAAGCGAUAUAUGCAGUGUUGUCUUCAUUUUAAAUGCCAAAAGGAUUUUGCGGCUCCCGGUGUUUUCUUUUCUGUGGGAAACGGGUCGAAAUGGCUCUUUGAGUGUUAAAGGUUGCCGACCCCUGUUCUAGAGCUCAGAUGUGGUUCCAUUUCUAAACCGUUCUAAGUGUUUCAUUGGGUGACUGUGGGUUCAGUUUGUGUUCUAAUUUGCUUUACAAAGCCUCUAAGCUGUAAGAAUUUAAAGUGUUUCCUGUUCAGAUCAAACUAAUACUUCAGUUCUAAAGACAUCAUAAUAUCAGAAUUCAGUCGUCUAAGUUCUUUAGAAGCCGAGACUCUGAAUGUAGCAUCAGAAGAGCCAGUUCCUCCAUACUGGGCUGAAUCUGGUUCUUUUAGAUAUUUUAUUAUUUUAAUCAGAUCUCUGACUGUUGGGGUCUGUCAUGGGAACAUGGGAGGAGUCUCAGAGCUUCAUUUCUGUUUAAUCAGGAGCCUCCUGCAGCUCAGUAAUCCACCAAUCAGUCUGGACAUUUAACCCUCCAUGAUCACUUAGAACAGACAAUGAUAAUAAUAACACAGACAAGCAGAGCCUUGAUUCUCUGUUGCUCCAAAUAAAUCCAUCCAUCGUCUACACACCCCUUAAUCCUCAUUGGGGUCACAGCUUGUUCAAGUUGACUGAGAGCAAAGAUUCACCUGGACAGGUAACAGUCUAUCAUAGAGCUACAUGUAGAGAGAAACAAUCACACCUACAGAUUAGAAUCACUGAUUAACCUCAGCAUGUUUGUGGACUGUGGGAGGAACCUGGAAAACCCAGCAGGAGAACCUGGAGGCUCAAAGCAGAAAGACUACAGGAAGACCAGGAGUCUUCUGUCUGUGAGGCGACAGUACUAACCACUGAUCCACUGUGCCGCCCCCCAUGAAUAGCACAGGUUUCAUACAGUCAGUCACACUUCCAGUUCAUUCUUUGGUGGUGUCGAGAUCUACUUGUCCUCUGGAUUCCUCUGAGAUGGACGCUGUAGUUCACCUAUCCAGGUGUCACGGCUCCAGGUAGUGGCAGGACUCUCCCCCUGAGCCAACCAUCAGGUGAGCAGGAGGCGGCAGGUGUUCCUCAUCUCUGAUCAGCUGACCUGGAGUGAGCAGGUGGAUUGGUUCAUCAUCUACUCCUGGAACCUCACUCACCGGCCGACUCUGUGAACGAGCAGCAGUCAGUUGAGAUUCUUGUUUAGUUCUGCUCUCUGUGGCUUUUGGCUCGGCUGUUUUCUGCUCUGUUUUUCCAGCCUGGACUCCACCUGCUGAUGUCAAACCCCAGAUCCAUUCCCUUCAAUCCUCAGCCGUCUGUAGCCCUGGAUCCUUCCUCAUCUCAGAUCAUCCACGCCUCACUCUGGUCUCCACCGUCUACCUCUGCACCUCCCCAUGACUCCCCUGGUUCCCCACUUGGUUCCCUGUCAGCUAAGUGCCCCGUCCUGAGCCGGGCUGGCAGCUUAUUUUAUGUACUGUUAGAUUCAGGCCUUUGUAUUUGCCUUUGUAUGCCUUGUGUAGUCCUACAGCGUUUUGCUGCUUGUACAGCUUCCGUUCUAUUUCGUAUUCCCAGUUUCAUAUCAUCAUUACGACUGUACACAUUAUCUAAGUUCAGAUGUUCUGACCAGAGUGAACUGUGGAUAAUAAGGUAUCUGCCCGUCUUAUCCUGAAAUGGGAUUCAUUUAUGAAUAAAUAAUAGUCCUAAUCUUAAUACUGGCCUCUUCCAGACUGUUUCUUAUAGGAAUACGAGUUUAGAAUCCAAAUCUUUAAGUUUAAUUCUAACCUCUUUAAUUUUGUGUAAACCUGCAGUUCCUAGAGAGAAUGUCAAGCUUUGCUCUUUGAGAUCUUCAGGUUCUGGUUCUGGAUCUCUAUAUGUUAGCAGGAGUCUAACUGGAUAAAUCAGACUGGGAACUUCAGGUUCUGCUGAUGGACCGGGUCGUGUUCUUUCUUUGGCUUGUAAAUCUCCUCAGACAGAUCAGAUCUCACUGCUGGUUUCUUAUAUUUAAUGUCUUUCUUCACCCAGGCAGUGUAGAUGAUCUUCAGUUGGUCCUUUGGUUGAGUGACUUCAUUACUAGUGAUCUUGGUGGGAGGUUUCUGUCUCUUCUGUUUUUUUUUUCCUUCAGGCCAAACAGCCAUUGGUGUGACGUCAUGAUGUCAGCGGGCCGACAGGUAACGUCUUCAGAACAGGUGAGGAGAGCAGACUGAGUGGAGGGAAGAUGAGACGCUCCGCAGCGCCUCAGGGUCUACAUCCAGGUGUUCCUCCUGUCAGGUCACCUGCCAUCUUUGUGACUCCGACCAAGCUGGGAUCUGAAGUAGGAAGUCAGAUGGAGUACCGGGCAGCCACACGAGUCCUGUCGAAGCGGAGGCUCUUCCAGGUGUCGGACAGUGUCCCGGUCCACCUGAAGAAGGAACGGAUAGACAUGCUGCUGUACCGGACCACUCUGGGGCUGAGAGUGGGGGGCGUGGUCAGCUGCCUGGUGGCCCUCUAUGUCGCUGCUCAGCCCAGCAACAAGUGAUGUCGUCCUGCUGCUGUGCUCUGAUUGGACCAGAGGUUUCUGUGGAGAGGUUCACAAAGCUUUACAGCAACAAAACACUUUGUACAGAAAUAUUAGUACGCAGAAUUAAUAAACUAUUCAGCUGUUAAA